UCCAGGGCAGCCUGAGUCCGCAUUGUUCAUAGACCCAGAAUCAAAGGGAGGGGAUGGGACAGCCCAUCUGGGAAGAAGAGCAAGGAUGGAGGGGCACGCUGACUUACUCUGUUUACAGAUGAAAUUCUUCCCCCUUUCAGCCUUUCCCAGUCUAUAGGACACAGGACACUGCUGCAAAGAACUCCUGGAAGCACCGAGAAGCCAAGGACUUCCACCCAACGUGGCUGUGCCAAAGAAGGAACGAGCUUCUGCAGAGCUGUGGUCCG